rnacentral:rRNA from 1 species
GACGAACGCUGGCGGCGUGCUUAACACAUGCAAGUCGAACGGAAAGGCCCCCUUGUGGGGUUCUCGCGUGGCGAACGGGUGGGUAACACGUGAGUAACCUACCCUUGUCUUUGGUAUAACUUCAGGAAACUGGGGCUAAUACCGGAUAGGAGCUCCCGCCGCAUGGUGGGGGGUGGAAAGUCUUGGCGGCUGGGGCUGGAUUCGGGGCCUAUCGGCUUGUUGGUGGGGUAGUGGCUCACCACGGACUUGACGGGUAGCCGGCCUGAGAGGGUGACCGGCGACAAUGGGACUGAGAGAGGGCCCAGACGCCAACGGGAGACAGCGGUGGGAAAUAUGGCACAAUGGGCGGGAGCCUGAGGAGGAGGCGCCGCGUGCGGGAUGACGGCCUUCGGGUUAUGAACCGCUUUCGCCUGUGACGAAGCGUGAGUGACGGUAAUGGGUAAAGAAGCACCGGCUAACUACGUG